rnacentral:rRNA from 1 species
GACGAACGCUGGCGGCGUGCUUAACACAUGCAAGUCGAACGGAAAGGCCCCCUUGUGGGGUACUCGCGUGGCGAGCGGGGGGGUAACACCUUAGUAACCUACCCUUUACUUUGGGAUAACUUCCGGAAACUGGGGCUAAUACCGGAUAGGAGCUCCUGCUGCAUGGUGGGGGUUGUCAAGUCUCGGCGGAUGGGGAUGGGCUCGGGGCUUAUCAGCUUGUUGGUGGGGUAGUGGCUAACCAAGGCAUGGUAGGGUAGCCGGCCUGGGAGGGUGACCGGCGACAUGGGGACUGAGAGACGGACCAGACGCGUACGGGAGGCAGCAGUGGGGAAUAUUGCACAAUGGGCGGAAGCCUGAUGCAGAAACGCCGCGUGUGGGAUGAAGGUCUUCGGGUGGUAAACCGCUUUCGCCUGUGACGAAGCGGGAGUGACGGUAAUGGGUAAAGAAGCACCGGCUAACUACGUG